GAUGAACGCUGGCGGCGUGCCUAAUACAUGCAAGUCGAGCGAACGGACGAGAAGCUUGCUUCUCUGAUGUUAGCGGCGGACGGGUGAGUAACACGUGGAUAACCUACCUAUAAGACUGGGAUAACUUCGGGAAACCGGAGCUAAUACCGGAUAAUAUUUUGAACCGCAUGGUUCAAAAGUGAAAGACGGUCUUGCUGUCACUUAUAGAUGUAUCCGCGCUGCAUUAGCUAGUUGGUAAGGUAACGGCUUACCAAGGCAACGAUGCAUAGCCGACCUGAGAGGGUGAUCGGCCACACUGGAACUGAGACACGGUCCAGACUCAUACGGGAGGCAGCAGAAGGGAAUAUUCCGCAAUGGGCGAAAGACUGACGGAGCAACGCCGCGUGAGUGAUGAAGGUAUUCGGAUAGUAAAACGCUGUUAUUAGGGAAGAACAUAUGUGUAAGUAACUGUGCACAUCUUGACGGUACCUAAUCAGAAAGCCACGGCUAACUACGUG
rnacentral:rRNA from 1 species